rnacentral:rRNA from 1 species
GAGUUUGAUCCUGGCUCAGCCUGAAUGCUGGCGGCGUGGCUAAGACAUGCAAGUCGCACGGUGUAGCAAUACACAGUGGCGAACGGGUGAGUAAUGAAUCGCUAAUGUACCCCGGACUCUGGGAUAGCUGCCCGAAAGGGCAGGUAAUACCAGAUGAGACCCACGACAUCGCAUGAUGUUGUGCUCAAAGGUCCGCCGGUCUGGGAGCAGGCGAUUUCGUAUCAGCUAGUUGGUGAGGUAACGGCUCACCAAGGCGACGACGCGUAGCCGGACUGAGAGGUUGGCCGGCCACAUUGGGACUGAGACACUGCCCAGACUCCGUACGGGGGGCUGCAGUAACGAAUCUUCCGCAAUGCACGAAAGUGUGACGGAGCGACGCCGCGUGUAGGACGAA